UUGGCCCUACGGGGGGCAGCAGUAGGGAAUCUUCCACAAUGGACGAAAGUCUGAUGGAGCAACGCCGCGUGAGUGAAGAAGGGUUUCGGCUCGUAAAGCUCUGUUGGUAGUGAAGAAAGAUAGAGGUAGUAACUGGCCUUUAUUUGACGGUAAUUACUUAGAAAGUCACGGCUAACUACGUGCCAGCAGCCGGGGUAAUACGUAGGUGGCAAGGGUUGUCAGGAUUUAUUUGGGGUAA
rnacentral:rRNA from 1 species